AUGAUGUCUCUUACUGAUUUACCACUAUCGUUUUGGGAUUAUGUAUUAGAGACAGCUGCAUUCAGGUUUCAGCCUGAUAAGCUCGAACCCAAAUCGAAGAAGUGUGUCUUCAUAGGAUACCCAAAAGAAAUUGUUAGGUACACCUUCUAUCACAGAUCCAUAGGCAAGAUCUUUGUUGCUAAGAAUGAAUCCUUUCUAGAGAAGGAGUUUCUCUCGAAAGAAGUGAGUGGGAGGAAAGUAGAACUUGAUGAGAUCAAGUUACUACCGAACCUCGUAGGUCAACCAGAGUAUAGUUCACACUAG
rnacentral:rRNA from 1 species